UAGGGAAUCUUCCACAAUGGGCGAGAGCCUGAUGGAGCAACGCCGCGUGUGUGAUGAAGGGUUUCGGCUCGUAAAACACUGUUGUAAGAGAAGAAUGACAUUGAGAGUAACUGUUCAAUGUGUGACGGUAUCUUACCAGAAAGGAACGGCUAAAUACGUGCCAU
rnacentral:rRNA from 1 species